ACCGCCACAGUGACUUGCAAGCAACUCACUACACUUAGGUACUGGACUACCUGAAUUUCUAAUUCAGUGACGGAAGGCUGCUGGGUGUAGUCAAGUACUUGACUUGUCGGUGCGUGUGUCAAGAUGGGAUUGACCACUCCAGUACAGUCAUGUUUCAAUUUAGCAAAAUCUUGACCAGGGUAGUCCUAGUGAGGAGUCACAAGACUGUUUGAGUUGAGCACGAUUCGGAUGAUCUAAUCAGGGUUGACAGUUUAACCCUGAGUCAUCCUAAACAUAGAGGUCAAAAGGGAUGAAUUAUACAGUAACCAUAUUCACGUAGGUUUUGAGUUUUACGAUUGCAACUAUUCGACCUA
rnacentral:lncRNA from 1 species